AAUGCUUGUUAACUUUUCGGUAUAGUCUAUGUCUAAAUUUAGACAUAGACUAUACCGAAAAGUUAACAAGCAUUGAC
rnacentral:pre_miRNA from 1 species